rnacentral:misc_RNA from 1 species
AAAGUCGUAACAAGGUCUCCGUUGGUGAACCAGCGGAGGGAUCAUUACCGAGUUUACUCAACUCCCAAACCCACUGUGAACGCAUGCCGCAGACGUUGCCUCGGCGGGUCACGGCCCCGGAGCGCCCCCCUGAAGGGGCCGCCGGAAACAGGCGCCCGCCGCAGGACCCAAACCCCUGAAUCGCGCCGCGGCGCACCCUGAUUUUGUGAGCGAGCGAGAAAUGAAUCAAAACUUUCAACAACGGAUCUCUUGGUUCUG